rnacentral:rRNA from 1 species
UACGGGGGGUGCACGCGUUAUCCGGAAUCACUGGGUUUAAAGGGUGCGUAGGCGGCUUGAUAAGUCAGAGGUGAAACGCUGUGACUCAACCAUGGGAUUGCCUUUGAUACUGUUGGGCUUGAAUCAGGAUGAGGUUGGCAGAAUGUGGCAUGUAGCGGUGAAAUGCAUAGAUAUGCCAUAGAAUACCGAUUGCGAAGGCAGCUGACUGGCCCUUGAGUGACUAUGAGGCACGAAAGCGUGGGGAGCGAACAGG